UAGGGAAUCUUCCACAAUGGGCGCAAGCCUGAUGGAGCAACACCGCGUGAGUGAAGAAGGGUUUCGGCUCGUAAAGCUCUGUUGUUAGAGAAGAAAGUGCGUGAGAGUAACUGUUCACGUUUCGACGGUAUCUAACCAGAAAGCCACGGCUAACUACGUGCCAGCAGCCGCGGUAAUACGUAGGUGGCAAGCGUUAUCCGGAUUUAUUGGGCGUAAAGGGAACGCAGGCGGUUGCUUAGGUCUGAUGUGAAAGCCUUCGGCUUAACCGAAGAAGUGCAUCGGAAACCGGGCGACUUGAGUGCAGAAGAGGACAGUGGAACUCCAUGUGUAGCGGUGGAAUGCGUAGAUAUAUGGAAGAACACCAGUGGCGAAGGCGGCUGUCUGGUCUGCAACUGACGCUGAGGCUCGAAAGCAUGGGUAGCGAACAGG
rnacentral:rRNA from 1 species